rnacentral:rRNA from 1 species
AGGGUUUGAUCCUGGCUCAGAACGAACGCUGGCGGCGCGCCUAAUACAUGCAAGUCGAGCGAGAAGACGUAGCAAUACGUUUGUAAAGCGGCGAACGGGUGAGGAAUACAUGGGUAACCUACCCUCGAGUGGGGAAUAACUAGCCGAAAGGUUAGCUAAUACCGCAUACGGCUCUUGGUCUGCGGAUCGAGAGAGAAAGCGAUACCGUGGGUAUCGCGCUCCUGGAUGGGCUCAUGUCCUAUCAGCUUGUUGGUGAGGUAACGGCUCACCAAGGCUUCGACGGGUAGCUGGUCUGAGAGGACGAUCAGCCACACUGGCACUGCGACACGGGCCAGACUCCUACGGGAGGCAGCAGUAAGGAAUAUUGCGCAAUGGGCGACAGCCUGACGCAGCGACGCCGCGUGGGGGAUGAAGGUCUUCGGAUUGUAAACCCCUUUCGGCAGGGAAGAUGGAACGGGUAACCGUUCGGACGGUACCUGCAGAAGCAGCCACGGCUAACUUCGUGCCAGCAGCCGCGGUAAUACGAAGGUGGCAAGCGUUGUUCGGAUUUACUGGGCGUACAGGGAGCGUAGGCGGUUGGGUAAGCCCUUCGUGAAAUCUCCGGGCCUAACCCGGAAAGUGCGGAGGGGACUGCUCGGCUAGAGGAUGGGAGAGGAGCGCGGAAUUCCCGGUGUAGCGGUGAAAUGCGUAGAGAUCGGGAGGAAGGCCGGUGGCGAAGGCGGCGCUCUGGAACAUUUCUGACGCUGAGGCUCGAAAGCGUGGGGAGCAAACAGGAUUAGAUACCCUGGUAGUCCACGCCUUAAACGAUGGAUACUAAGUGUCGGCGGGUUACCGCCGGUGCCGCAGCUAACGCAGUAAGUAUCCCGCCUGGGAAGUACGGCCGCAAGG